rnacentral:rRNA from 1 species
UUCCCCUAGUAACGGCGAGUGAAGCGGGAAGAGCUCAAAUUUGUAAUCUGGCGGUCUCUGGCCGUCCGAGUUGUAGUCUGGAGAAGCGUUAUCCGCGUCGGACCGUGUACAAGUCCCUUGGAACGGGGCGUCGUAGAGGGUGAGAAUCCCGUCUUUGACACGGACUGCCGAUGCUUUGUGAUGCGCUCUCGAAGAGUCGAGUUGUUUGGGAAUGCAGCUCAAAUCGGGUGGUAAAUUCCAUCUAAAGCUAAAUAUGGGCGAAAGACCGAUAGCGAACAAGUACCGUGAGGGAAAGAUGAAAAGCACUUUGGAAAGAGAGUUAAACAGUACGUGAAAUUGUUGAAAGGGAAACGUUUGAAGUCAGUCGCGUCUUCCGGGAUUCAGCCUUGCCUCGCGCUUGGCGUACUUCCCGGGGUGAUGGGCCAGCAUCGAUUUCGACCGUCGGAGACAGGCUUUGGGAAUGUGGCACCUUCGGGUGUGUUAUAGCCCUUUGUCGUAUGCGACGGUUGGGAUCGAGGAUCGCAGCACGCGCCUUUAUCGGCUCGGGGUUCGCCCACGUUCAACGUGCUUAGGAUGCUGGCGUAAUGGCUUUAAGCGACCCGUCUUGAAACACGGACCAAGGAGUCUAACAUGCGUGCGAGUGUUUGGGUGGAAAACCCAGACGCGAAAUGAAAGUGAAAGGGUUGGGACCCCUGUCGUGGGGGGCACCGACGCCCGGACCAGACCUUUUUGUGACGGAUCCGAGGUAGAGCAUGUAUGCUGGGACCCGAAAGAUGGUGAACUAUGCCUGAGUAGGGUGAAGCCAGAGGAAACUCUGGUGGAGGCUCGUAGCGAUUCUGACGUGCAAAUCGAUCGUCGAACUUGGGUAUAGGGGCGAAAGACUAAUCG